AUCCAGCUGACGAGUUCCAAAUAGGAUGAAACGCGUCCUAAAU
rfam:Schistosoma rodhaini strain Burundi genome assembly, scaffold: SROB_scaffold0017319